CCGAGGCCGGGAGGGCUGCAGGGGCUGUGGAGAUGGGGAAGGUGCCUGGGUGUGGCGCCGGGUUUGUGUUUGGUGGCAACACUUUUAUCCCUCGUCCUUGAACUCGUUCCCAGCCUCCCCUGUGAUAAGAAGCAGGGGCUGGCUCCCCUUCCAGCCCCGUCUGGCACGCACGGCACAAGGUCACCCGCCGCGGGAGCCCGUGGCACCUGGCGCCGAGGGGCCGGGACGGGGCUGGGAAGGUGCGGGGGGCCUCGGCCAGGGCCAGCUCGGGUCACAGCGGCAGCGGGGACUCGCCCAGGGCCGGGGUGCUGAGUGCCAUACCUGGCGUGCGCCUCCCGUGUCACCUCGCCCUGCGGUGGCCUCGGUUAACCACGGCGGCCGGAGCAGCCGCAGCGCGGAGGGGGAGGACGAGCCCAAAGCCCGCCCGGCGCCAGAGCAGCACGGAAGAAGGGUGGGACGAGGAACGGUCGGGCUAAAAGUAACCGGAGACGGCCAGAAAAAGAAAAAAAAA